rnacentral:rRNA from 1 species
CUGCUAUCGGAUUGAUACUAAGCCAUGCGAGUCAUUGUAGCAAUACAAGGCAUACGGCUCAGUAACGCGUAGUCAACCUAACCUAUGGACGGGAAUAACCUCGGGAAACUGAGAAUAAUGCCCGAUAGAACAUUAUGCCUGGAAUGGUUUAUGUUCCAAAUGAUUUAUCGCCGUAGGAUGGGACUGCGGCCUAUCAGUUUGUUGGUGAGGUAAUGGCCCACCAAGACUAUUACAGGUACGGGCUCUGAGAGGAGUAGCCCGGAGAUGGGUACUGAGACACGGACCCAGGCCCUAUGGGGCGCAGCAGGCGAGAAAACUUUGCAAUGUGCGAAAGCACGACAAGGUUAAUCCGAGUGGUUUCUGCUAAAGGAACCUUUUGUCAGUCCUAGAAACACUGAUGAAUAAGGGGUGGGCAAGUUCUGGUGUCAGCCGCCGCGGUAAAACCAGCACCUCAAGUGGUCAGGAUGAUUAUUGGCCCUAAAGCAUCCGUAGCCGGCUCUGUAAGUUUUCGGUUAAAUCUGUACGCUCAACGUACAGGCUGCCGGGAAUACUGCAAAGCUAGGGAGUGGGAGAGGUAGACGGUACUCGGUAGGAAGGGGUAAAAUCCUUUGAUCUAUUGAUGACCACCUGUGGCGAAGGCGGUCUACCAGAACACGUCCGACGGUGAGGGAUGAAAGCUGGGGGAGCAAACCGGAUUAGAUACCCGGGUAGUCCCAGCUGUAAACCAUGCAAACUCAGUGAUGCAUUGGCUUGUGGCCAAUGCAGUGCUGCAGGGAAGCCGUUAAGUUUGCCGCCUGGGAAGUACGUACGCAAGUAUGAAACUUAAAGGAAUUGGCGGGGGAGCACCACAAGGGGUGAAGCCUGCGG